ACGGCUCAGUAACACGUGGACAACCUGCCCUUAGGUUGGGUAUAAACCCGGGAAACUGGGUAUAAUACCCGAUAGGUCUCGAUUGCUGGAAUGCAUCGAGAUUUAAAGCUCCGGCGCCUAAGGAUGGGUCUGCGGCCUAUCAGGUAGUAGUGGGUGUAGCGUACCUACUAGCCUACGACGGGUACGGGUUGUGAGAGCAAGAGCCCGGAGAUGGAUUCUGAGACACGAAUCCAGGCCCUACGGGGUGCAGCAGGCGCGAAAACUUUACAAUGCUGGCAACAGCGAUAAGGGAACCUCGAGUGCCAGGUUACAAAUCUGGCUGUCGAGAUGCCUAAAAAGCAUUUCAUAGCAAGGGCCGGGCAAGACCGGUGCCAGCCGCCGCGGUAACACCGGCGGCUCGAGUGGUAACCGUUAUUAUUGGGUCUAAAGGGUCUGUAGCCGGCCGGAUAAGUCUCUUGAGAAAUCUGGCAGCUUAACCGUCAGGCUUUCAGGAGAUACUGUCUGGCUCGAGGCCGGGAGAGGUGAGAGGUACUUCAGGGGUAGGGGUGAAAUCUUGUAAUCCUUGAAGGACCACCAGUGGCGAAGGCGUCUCACCAGAACGGACCUGACGGCAAGGGACGAAAGCUAGGGGCACGAACCGGAUUAGAUACCCGGGUAGUCCUAGCCGUAAACGAUACUCGCUAGGUGUCGGCCACGGUGCGACCGUUGUCGGUGCCGUAGGGAAGCCGUGAAGCGAGCCACCUGGGAAGUACGGCCGCAAGGCUGAAACUUAAAGGAAUUGGCGGGGGAG
rnacentral:rRNA from 1 species